rnacentral:tRNA from 1 species
UAGGAGGUGGUGUAGUGGAAGCACCUGGAGUUUUGAUCUCUAGGGCGUGGGUUCGAGUCCCACCCUUCUAA